AAGUGUUUAAAAUCUGAUAGUACGCCGGAGAAGCUGAGGACUCACGGCAACGGUAUAGUUAAACUAUAUCUGGUUUCCUUCCAUCAAAACGCCUCCACGAAUACGCCUACCAUUAGCAUCUCGGUUCCGGUUGUGAUCGUCAAUGAACUUAUCAGGCGAUCGAUUGAGAUUCGAAUUCUCGAUGCUAAACGAAAGAGAGGGGGAGGGUUUUUAGAAAAUGGCGAGAUUCGAUGCGAAGACGAUCGUCAAGGACAAGAGAUUCUGGGUCGCUUCUUUAAUUAUCGUCUGGGCUGCUGGUCUUCAGGGUCAUAUGAUGUGGCUGCAGAGGCAAGAUUCAUUUAAGCAGAAGUUUGGAACAAUUGAUGAAGACAACCACCACAAGUAAUAUGAUACAUAACAGGAGUUUAUGUCUCUGAAACAACUUCUUGUGUUUUUGUGUAUUGGGAGUCUUUUUUUUUGGAUUAUAAUCAUAAAUUACAUAAGAGGAUAAAAGAUUUGUAUUAGGAUUUCUGAUCUAUUAUUUCACUCUGGCUACUAUCUCAAAUGGUUGAAAAAAUAGAGUUUUGACUGUAAGAAAUUGCCAAUUGCAGUCUCUGUGAUUUGUGAGAUUAUUAUUGUGUAUUAGCUUCAGCUUUUUGCCUA